GUGACUCUGCUGGCCUGCAACAGUGUGUAGAAGGAUUUAAGCAAAAUGAAACAGACAGAAAUAUUGAUCCAGACAACUGGAAUUUUCAAGUGUAUUGCAAUGAUAAUGCCGACUGGAAAGGAAAGAGAAGAAGGUAACAAAGAAAAGCCAAGAAAACUAUUUGGAGUGAGAGACUAUGGUAAUAUAAAAGGCUAUAUAUAAUGUGGUAAAAUCGUGGGGACUUAAUUCCAUCAUAUGGAGGGUUACUGAAUGUAUCAGAGACAGCCUGCAGUUCAUCACCACACAAAUUAGGAGCAACGUAAGAAGAGAAAAAGAAAAAGGAAUUACAGAUUAAAAAAUGCAAGAGAAUAUAAACAAAAACAUGUUCAACUGGAAUUUGUAUUGGGAUUGUAUUAAAUGGAUGAACUAAUUUGUGAGGAAAUGAUAUCAUUCCAUCCAAGAGCAUGGAACUCCUAUUUUUCCUAUUGUCUUCUAUGUUUCUUUUUAAAAAGUUUUAAGUUUUCUCUGUAGAGUUUUUUGCAUUCUGGAUGAUUUUAAUUGAAACAUACUGUAUAGAUAUUGUUACUAUUAUAAGUGGUGCCUCUUAUUAGAUUUUGUAAUUCAUUAUGAUUGGUAAAGCAAAUAGGAUAGAUUUUGAACCUAGAAAACUGCCUCAAUUACCUCAUUACUUCAAAAAGUGUUGCCAUUGGUUCUAUUGCUUUUUUUAAAAAAAACAUGAUAAUAUCUUCUGCACAUUAUGAAAUUUUAUCUCAACACUUUCAAUCACUGCAUCUCUGUUUGACACCGAUGAACACUUCCAAAGUGAAAUAUUUUGCUCUCUUUAUUUUUCUCCUUUUGCUUUUUGGGGCCUCUUUACUUUCUAAACUUGUCACUUCUUGGUUUAUCUUCCAUACCUCUUGGCUUUUCUUUUGUGUAGUAUACUUUAGCUUCAUUCUGGGAGAGUUUUUCAUUCUGAACUUUUCGAUUUACUAGUUUAUUCUCCAUCAGUAUGUUUGCUAAUUUUUCUUCCAUUGACUGCUUUUCCCAAAUACUUAUUUUUCAUACUUUAUAUUUUCACUUGGAAUUUGGGGGGAAUAUUUUGUUCUAGUUUCAAAUUGAUCCUAUAUUUUUUGUCUCCUUAAGUAUAUUUAUCAGGCUUAUUUUAAAUUCUUGAUUUAUGUGUUAUAAUAAUGCUACCUUAGAUGGCAUAUGCUGCUCAAUUUUUCUUUCCCUUUUCCACUCUAGUAGUGGUAGUCCUCUGGCUUCUGGUUAUUUUUGUCUCUAGAGUUAUGUUAUGUUAUUAUAACAGAUGUGAGAAAGGGCCCAAAACCAGGUUUUAGCCUGUGUCUGCUCUAAUGAGUUAAUGUGAUUACUAUGGAUGAUCUUCAGAGUAGAAUACAAUAAGCAAUUGUUGUUUAUUACAAGUUUCGAGUUUAUAACUGUGAAAUCUACUGUGCUUCCUAAUUUAGCACCUUUAACAAUCUAUGAUCUAGGCUAUUGCUUCCAACUUUUAAAGUUUAAGGGAAGACACUGAUUGUCCCAAGGAAAUGUGGUCAGAGGAAAUAACAGAGGUAAUACUCAAAAUAAGAAAUACUCGAAAUAAGUUAAUGUGAAAAACAAUAGUAUAGAAGCAGCUCAAGAAGGAAAUGAUGAGUUGCAAGAUCAGAUUGAAGAACUGUUCCAGAAGGCAGCAAGAAACAAUAAUGUAAAAUUUUAAAAAUUAAUAAUAAUAACAAAAAACUAAAAGACAUGGAGGAUAGAAAUAGAUAUAUAUGGUGUGUUGUAUGAGAUGAGUCAGUUAGCUUAUGAGCAAGCAACCCAACCAUAUCUAAACAUAUAUCUGAGUAUGCUUUAACUCAUGUACUUACAAAAUUGCAUUUCUUAGUGAAAAAAAAAUCAAGAAAGAAAAGAAUUCCUAAGGUUAGUGAUGAAAGUAUAAAGUCAAGAGAUAAACUAGUGAUUUUCAAAAAAAAAAAAAAAGUAACUUUAGAGUGGCAAAUCAAAUGUCACUCUGUUCAUACAAGAUUCAUGAAACUGUUUCAGAGAGGGUUUUGUUCCUUGCAAAAGUUGUUCACCCACAAGAGACAGAUUUUGUAAAAUUUAAAAUGUAGCUAAUUUUCCAUGUGAUUAGGCAGUGUAAUUUAAAGAAACUCAAGAUUUUCUACAAAUAAUUUUUUGAGGCAAGAAGAUGCUAAAGUCACUUGUACUGCCACUAAACUUUACUAAAAGUUGGUUUGAACACUUUAAUUGCUUUUGAAUAGAUGAUUGAAGCUGUGAAGAGGUGGCAGCAGCUGACAUGUUGCCAUGGUAGCAUUUCCUCCCCAGCUGAGGAGGCUAUACAGAAGAAAGGAUAUAGGUCAGAAAGUGUUUAUACUGACAAAACAACCGCAUAUUAAAAUCAAAUGCUUUUGUAAACAUCAUAAGCCAAAUGAGAGUUGUGAAAUCUAGUUUCAGGCUAUUAAAGACAGACUGAUUUAUCUUUAGGAUGAUGUAUCAAGCUGUACGGUGAGAAUGGAGCAUUCAAGGUCAAGAAUACUCUCCUUCCUGCAUA